AUUGAACGCUGGCGGCAUGCCUUACACAUGCAAGUCGAACGGCAGCACGGGUGCUUGCACCUGGUGGCGAGUGGCGAACGGGUGAGUAAUACAUCGGAACAUGUCCUGUAGUGGGGGAUAGCCCGGCGAAAGCCGGAUUAAUACCGCAUACGAUCUACGGAUGAAAGCGGGGGACCUUCGGGCCUCGCGCUAUAGGGUUGGCCGAUGGCUGAUUAGCUCGUUGGUGGGGUAAAGGCCUACCAAGGCGACGAUCAGUAGCUGGUCUGAGAGGACGACCAGCCACACUGGGACUGAGACACGGCCCAGACUCCUACGGGAGGCAGCAGUGGGGAAUUUUGGACAAUGGGCGAAAGCCUGAUCCAGCAAUGCCGCGUGUGUGAAGAAGGCCUUCGGGUUGUAAAGCACUUUUGUCCGGAAAGAAAUCCUUGGCCCUAAUACGGUCGGGGGAUGACGGUACCGGAAGAAUAAGCACCGGCUAACUACGU
rnacentral:rRNA from 1 species